GACGAACGCUGGCGGCGUGCUUAACACAUGCAAGUCGAACGGAAAGGCCCUGCUUUUGUGGGGUGCUCGAGUGGCGAACGGGUGAGUAACACGUGAGUAACCUGCCCUUGACUUUGGGAUAACUUCAGGAAACUGGGGCUAAUACCGGAUAGGAGCUCCUGCUGCAUGGUGGGGGUUGGAAAGUUUCGGCGGUUGGGGAUGGACUCGCGGCUUAUCAGCUUGUUGGUGGGGUAGUGGCUUACCAAGGCUUUGACGGGUAGCCGGCCUGAGAGGGUGACCGGCCACAUUGGGACUGAGAUACGGCCCGGACUCCUACGGGAGGCAGCAGUGGGGAAUAUUGCACAAUGGGCGGAAGCCUGAUGCAGCAACGCCGCGUGCGGGAUGACGGCCUUCGGGCUGUAAACCGCUUUCGCCUGUGACGAAGCGUGAGUGACGGUAAUGGGUAAAGAAGCACCGGCUAACUACGUG
rnacentral:rRNA from 1 species